CAGCCGCCUCGGUAAAACGAAGGGGGCUAGCGUUGUUCGGAAUUACUGGGCGUAAAGCGCACGUAGGCGGAUUUUUAAGUCAGGGGUGAAAUCCCGAGGCUCAACCUCGGAACUGCCUUUGAUUCUGGAGAUCUUGAGUUCGGAAGAGGUUGGUGGAACAGCUAGUGUAGAGGUGAAAUGCGUAGAUAUCGGAAGGAACACCUGUGGCGAAAGCGGCUCACUGGACCAUUACUGACGCUGAGGCGCGAAAGCUAGGGGAGCAAACAGGAUUAGAUACCCCGGUAGUCCCUGUCUCUUAUAC
rnacentral:rRNA from 1 species